ensembl:lncRNA
UUUUUUGUUUUUUUUUUUUUGAUAAAUCGAGUUUUUGGAAAGAUUUGGCAUUGCUAGAAGAGCUCAUCUAAAAAGAGAAUAAUAUGUGUUGAGUGAAAAUACAACAAUGCUUCCCCAAAAUCCUUGUGUUGCUAUUUUUCAGAGGCAAAACUGAGGCACAGUAUCCCUGAGAGACCAUUCUCCCAAGGUAUUUACCUUGAGAACAACCUGCAAGCUCCCAUGGGUUCAGAGUUCAUUUUUAAGAUUAUGGGAUACUUUCCAUCCAAUACCACCUGAGAGGGACGGUUGGGAUGUCAUUUAAUGUCACUUACAGUGGCUGCUCAGCAAAUGGUCCUCUGUCCUCGAGGCAGGGGGGUGAAAUCAGCCCUUCAUUUAACACAGGCCAUUGAAAACCAACCAUGCACAGGCUCCUCACUUAAGCAGAUGAGCUGGAUGCAAAUGGAUAAACAGGAUUGCUGAUAUUGUGUUCACCCUCUCCCAUUUGCAAGCCCCAUUUCCAAAUGUUCUUUGAAUGGGGAUAGGUGGAAAGGGGGGAGUUUAUUGCAUUAUUUUCAUUGCUUACUCUGAAUAAUGGAAGUGCAGCAAAUGCAGCAUGUGGGCCAAUCUUUGGACCAUUCUUUGGACCUUUCUUCUGUGAACAUUCAGUUCAAAAAUAUUUGUUACACAGUGAAUAAGAGGCUGUUCUCUUGCUCAGCAUGGAAUUAGAAUGACUGCCAGUCAGGAAUGAAGUCACCUUCCAUUUCAGGAUCUUUCAGCGAAAAAGGACGAGUUUUCCUGUGGAGCUGAAUUUGUCAUGUGUGUUCCUGAGGAAAUGUUAAGAAACCGAAUAUUUCAUGAAGGUGGAAGGCUUGGAAAUACAUUUACACCAAACAUUUUGGGAAGGUGGAAGGUUUAGAAAUACUUUUCUACCCUCUUUCGUUCAGUGCAUCCCAGCCCAAAGAGCCCAAAGGCUCCAGAGCAUAGCUCUUGUCCCCACUGUGACUUCGCUGUCUCCCAGGACAUGCCAGGAUUUCCAAAGGGAGCUAGAACUGGGAACAGGUCAGCAGAAACCACAGCACCCCAAUAUUUCACCUUGUUUACCUAUGGAUUCCCCACAAUAUGUAUUAAAAGAGCUCAGAAAUUCUGGAAGGUGUGGAUGGAUGGAUGGAUGGAUGGAUGGAUGGAUGGAUGGAUGGAUGGAUGGAUGGCCAGCAGGUACUUGGGGUUCACCAAUACUCCUAAAAGUAAAAUCCCCUGACCAAUAUUUAAGUAACAAAAUUAGCGUUCCUUUAUAGAGUAAUUCCAAAUUUCUAGAUAUUUCUCAGAUAUUUCUAAUAACAAAAAAACCCCAAAAUCUAAUGACAUCUGAAGAUGUAGCAGGUCCUGUGGAAAGUAACUUUGUCAAGUCUUUUGGAAAGGGAGACCAAUAGUGAUAAAAUGCAGACUCACCUCACUCGGGGCCAUUUCACAGAGCAGCAACACACACAGACAUCUCCCUAUUUAUAUAAACCCCAUUUAUAUAACCCUUGUUAGACCCCUUUAAAUGCUCCCUGACACAUCUCCACUGAUGCAGUGCCAUUUCUGAUAAAAGCCCAACUCUUUUCCUGUAUCAAAAUGCGCUCAUUGUGCAGCAAUUCAAAGACACGACUCUUCCUCUUUAUGAGCUCUGAAAAUAUCUCAUUAAGAGUUUCACAAAUUACCACCAUCGCUUCUGCUGACGCGCUUGUUCGUCCUCGGAGCCAAAAAACUGCGGCUGACAACUUUAAUGGAACAAAGCAGGGCUUUCCCAGGCUGUGAUUCAGCACUCAAACACCUCGGUGUCAUCUUGAGCUUGGAGGUUUGAUGGAGCCAAGGUGUGAGGUGCCACUUGAGACAAGUGAGGGAAGUGUGGGGAUGUUUUUCCUGCCCUCUCUCGGAUCUACGGUUUCAGCACUCUUCACCAUCUGGUGGAACACUUCAGAGAAGAAAACAGUUCUGCAAUAUCUAAUUUUGCCAUGUUUUUGGAACAUCAUUAUAAUGAUCUUUGUGUCAUUUAAGUGUGAUUACUCGUCCUCCAAGGCUUUUCCUGUUUACGCUUAAAUAGUACUGGAGCAUGGCCAGAUACGCUUGAAAUGAAAUGGUACAAAAUACUACAUUUUUAUCAUAAAGGCUUAAAAGCAACAUUUACAAUUAGGGGACUCAGCCUGUGCUUUGCAUUCUGGUAGGUUUUUUGUUUUGAUCUCAUUGUAGUAGUAGAUAAAUAAAAUUAAUUAAGCAAGCAUAAUUGCUGGUUAAAUUUUACAAAAUCCUGAAGAAAUGGAAGGCCUAAUUCAAAGUGGCGGUAAUGGUGUAAAUAAUUAAGUCAAAUUGUUUUCAUUUUCAUGCCGCAUAUUGUUUCCUUCAGCAUGUAAUGGUACAAGGCAAAGUGUACGCAGUGCUUGAACUAGACAAAUAAUAGAUAAAUUUAUUCAUAAAUACUUUGUGGAUUGUAAUUAGAAGUUGUCUGCUGCAGUGUCUAUAGCACCAGUCUAUUUUUUCCUUCAGUUUCUGUAAAUAUUUGUCUGGGGAAAUUUGUGCUUUGAAGAAUGUAGAGAGAAGGAGAAUACAUCACAAAAAGUGUUACAAACUCAUCUUUGCUGCUUGGUUUGAGCAUACAAGUUCUGUGUUCUUAGCAUGACGCAGGUGGUCUCUGCCUGCAGCAGGCUGAGGGAGGCUGGGAGCUGGGUGUGAGAUGAGUUUCUCUUCUCUCACUGCUUGGUGCCCCAAAUAGAGCUUUUCCAGACAGGAGAUACGAAUUACCUGGUGGAACCUGCCAAAAAACCCACGGGAUGUCAGGGCUCCAGGAGAGAUUGCCUGGACACGGGGCCGGGCGCACGCAGUGAUUGUGCAGGGCAAGCACCCUGUGGGAGAAAAAUGGGAUUGUUUCUCUCAUUGAGAAGGGGAACUUCUCAAUGAACUCAUUCCAGGCAGAGCUGUGAUAAUCCAGGCUGGGUGGAAGCUCAGGAGAUCCUUCAGGGAUCACCUGAAGGAUCCUUCAGCCACUCACCGUGGCUUUGAACACUGGUCAGCAACCCUGAAAGGGGCAUUUGGGGACAGCCCCCCAUCAGCAGCUCCUGGGUGAAACCCAUUUGUGUAACCAGCUCACUCUCAGCAUAGCACAAAUUUAUCAAAACACCAGUUUGGAAAAUUCAGGGACACAGAAGGUGGAACCUAUUGGAUAAAUCGGCACACUCUCAAAUGUAUUCCCAAUGAGUGCAGUCAAGGAUUGCAUUAGGAUUACUGCACUCCCUAAGGUUUGAGGGACCUUAUUCUGCCCCAGUGCACCUACCUGAGUACUGUGAGUGUUGUUAAGCCGUGGAAUGAGCAGCAGAAGAGUUUGUGGCACUGCUUGGAGCUGGCACGUGCCAAUACCUCGACCACCUGAGCACAGAGCGCAGCACCAGGCACUACAAACAAAUCCCUGCAAAGCUCUGCACAGGGGUCAAAAAGACUCCUCAGGUCUGUUGGUUCUUUCCAUGUUCUUCCAGCGGGGAGGGAGAGCUGAAAAAUACUGUGGAGCUUUUGUUCACCUCUUGCUGCAGUGGAGCAGAGCUUCUACAUAGCACUACUGGCCUCUGCUGCCAGCAUGGGAGAGGAGGAGAGCAGAGAGGCUUCCCACACCUCUGCCUCUCCAGAGGGCCUCCUGAUCCCUGAGUACAAGCUGCAGGGAAACCAAUCUUUCAUCUUUACCUUAUUUUCAUGCUUACAAAUAAAGGUCAAGGCUCCUGUGCUGUAGCCGACGCCGAACGAGCUUUGAACAACCACCCUGAAAUGUGAUUGUAAUUAGUUUCCUUUCAAUCUUGAUGUGAACAGUGAUCUUAAAAUGCCAGGACUGUAGCAGUGCAUAUGAUUAACAAGCACACAGAAAGGCAGUCUGCGGAAAAAUAUGGAUAGAAAUGAACAAAAUGCAAAUGUUGCACUGCUUUAAAUUUUAUUAUCCUCCCAGCUCUUCAUAAAAUACUGUAGACAUAGUUUGAUUAUAUUUUUAGUCUAGGGAAUUAAUUUUUAACUAGGGAACUUGUUUCUGUCUUAUGAUUACUCUUCUCUUCAAUGGCCUGUAGGUCUGAACUAAAAAAAAAAAAUCAAAGUUUUUAUUGUGCUAAUGAUGCCCAGAACUCAAAUUAAUCUCACUUAGGUGUGUGCCAUGCCAAUAUGUGCCAGAGCUACAGGCAACCUUUUGAUACUAGUGAUUUCUCCAGGAGCCAGGUGUAAAGCCUGUCAAUGUCACCACCUUGGAGACUCCUUGGAGCAGCCAGUGGGGGAAGGAAGAACAGAGCCAGUGAUAUUUCCUGGUCCCUCCUCUUAUUUCACUUCAUUGUCUCAGUUGGCAGUAGAGCCUACGGGAGGGUGAGGAGGAGUUGUGAGCACAGUGCUCUGGUCACAUCCACUCACAGCCCCUGGUCCAGCUCCCUUCUGCACCCGGGAAUGGGUGGGAGCUGCUCCCAGAGAGGCAGAAAUUCCCUCACCCAGCCAAAAAGGACUUCAGGGCUGCUCCUCUGCUUUGAGCAGGAGGAAUGGGAAGGAGAGAGAAACAGAAGAAAUUACAUGGGUAAUAUUUUGCUUGAGAAACUACCGAGCUGUAUUUUCUACCUGGGAAAAAAGUGUUGUGGUUUUUUUUUUUGUUUUUUUUUUUCCAGCUGCCAAGUAAAUUCACUUUGUCAAAACA